CCUACGGGAGGCUGCAGUGGGGGAUAUUGCACAAUGGGGGAAACCCUGAUGCAGCGACGCCGCGUGUGGGAAGACGGUCCUCUGGAUUGUAAACCACUGUCCCCAGGGACGAAGAUGACGGUACCUGGGGAGGAAGCUCCGGCUAACUACGUGCCAGCAGCCGCGGUAAUACGUAGGGAGCGAGCGUUGUCCGGAUUUACUGGGUGUAAAGGGAGCGUAGACGGCUGUGCAAGCCAGAUGUGAAAGCCCGGGGCUCAACCCCGGGACUGCAUUUGGAACUGUGUGGCUGGAGUGUCGGAGAGGCAGGCGGAAUUCCUAGUGUAGCGGUGAAAUGCGUAGAUAUUAGGAGGAACACCAGUGGCGAAGGCGGCCUGCUGGACGAUGACUGACGUUGAGGCUCGAAAGCGUGGGGAGCAAACAGGAUUAGAUACCCCUGUAGUC
rnacentral:rRNA from 1 species